AAAUAUUAACUCACACCCAUCAACGCCCGGGUACUACGAGCCCCAGCUUAAAACCCAAAGGACUUGACGGUGUCCCAUCCACCUAGAGGAGCCUGUUCUAUAAUCGAUAAUCCCCGCUAAACCCAACCCCCUCUUGCAAUCAGCCUGUAUACCUCCGUCGUAAGCUUACCAUAUGAAUGACCCCAGUAAGCUAAAUGAUUAUAACACCCCAAUACGUCAGGUCAAGGUGCAGCUCAUGAGAAGGCAAGCAAUGGGCUACAAUUUCUAAUCUAGAACAAACGAAACACUGCAUGAAACUCAGCUGUGAAGGCGGAUUUAGUAGUAAAAAGAAAAUAGCGUGUUCUUUUUAACUAGGCCCUGGGACGUGU
rnacentral:rRNA from 1 species